GAUGAACGCUGGCGGCGUGCCUAAUACAUGCAAGUCGAGCGAACAGAUGAGGAGCUUGCUCCUCUGACGUUAGCGGCGGACGGGUGAGUAACACGUGGAUAACCUACCUAUAAGACUGGGAUAACUUCGGAAAACCGGAGCUAAUACCGGAUAAUAUAUUGAACCGCAUGGUUCAAUAGUGAAAGACGGUUUUGCUGUCACUUCUAGAUGGAUCCGCGCCGCAUUAGCUAGUUGGUAAGGUAACGGCUUACCAAGGCAACGAUGCGUAGCCGACCUGAGAGGGUGAUCGGCCACACUGGAACUGAGACACGGUCCAGACUCCUACGGGAGGCAGCAGUAGGGAAUCUUCCGCAAUGGGCGAAAGCCUGACGGAGCAACGCCGCGUGAGUGAUGAAGGUCUUCGGAUCGUAAAACUCUGUUAUUAGGGAAGAACAAAUGUGUAAGUAACUAUGCACGUCUUGACGGUACCUAAUCAGAAAGCCACGGCUAACUACGUG
rnacentral:rRNA from 1 species